UACGUAGGGGGCAAGCGUUGUCCGGAAUCAUUGGGCGUAAAGAGCGUGUAGGCGGCCAGAAAAGUCCGCUGUGAAAACUCGAGGCUCAACUUCGAGCUGUCGGUGGAAACUUUCUGGCUAGAGUCCGGAAGAGGAGAAUGGAAUUCCUGGUGUAGCGGUGAAAUGCGCAGAUAUCAGGAAGAACACCCGUGGCGAAGGCGGUUCUCUGGGACGGUACUGACGCUGAGACGCGAAAGCGUGGGGAGCGGACAGG
rnacentral:rRNA from 1 species